rnacentral:rRNA from 1 species
UACGUAGGGUGCGAGCGUUGUCCGGAAUUAUUGGGCGUAAAGAGCUCGUAGGCGGUGUGUCGCGUCGGCCGUGAAAAACCUGCAGCUUAACUGUGGGCUUGCGGUCGAUACGGGCAUCACUGGAGUUCGGAGGGGAGUGGGGAAUUCCUGGUGUAGCGGUGAAAUGCGCAGAUAUCAGGAGGAACACCGGUGGCGGAAGGCGCCACUCUGGGCCGAAACUGACGCUGAGGAGCGAAAGCGUGGGUAGCAAACAGG